rnacentral:rRNA from 1 species
UACGUAGGGGGCGAGCGUUGCCCGGAUUUAUUGGGCGUAAAGGGCGCGUAGGCGGCUAGGCACGUCCGUUGUGAAAUCGCCCGGCUCAACUGGGCGGGGUCGGCGGAUACGGCCGAGCUGGAGCAAGCUAGGGGGUAAUGGAAUUCCCGGUGUAGUGGUGGAAUGCGUAGAUAUCGGGAGGAACACCAGUGGCGAAGGCGGUUACCUGGAGCUUUGCUGACGCUGAUGCGCGAAAGCGUGGGGAGCGAUCCGG